GACAGAGGGUGCAAACGUUGCUCGGAAUUACUGGGCGUAAAGGGCGUGUAGGCGGGAAGGCAAGUCGGGCGUGAAAGCCCAGGCUCAACCUGGGAACUGCACUCGAAACUGCCUUUCUUGAGUGCCGGAGAGGAAAGCGGAAUUCCGUGGUGUAGAGGUGAAAUUCGUAGAUAUCAGGAGGAACACCAGUGGCGAAGGCGGCUUUCUGGACGGUAACUGACGCUGAGACGCGAAAGCGUGGGGAGCAAA
rnacentral:rRNA from 1 species